AACCAUUAUGCUAUACUUCCGAUCAAAAUUAGAUUUAGAUGUUUAUAUAAUCAAAAUAAAUCGUGAAAAACAAUGUUUUUAUUCCAUCAAGUUUACAUAUUUUUUAAUGCCUUUGAACAUCGAAGUUCAUGCUUUUUCAUGCCAGUUCAUGCCUGAAUUUUCACAAAAUCUAUUUAAUUACUUUUCAUGCUUUUUAAUGACCCGGGAAACCCUGGUUUAGUUAAAUACUG